GUGGGGAAUCUUAGACAAUGGGGGAAACCCUGAUCUAGCCAUGCCGCGUGAUCGAUGAAGGCCUUAGGGUUGUAAAGAUCUUUCAGGUGGGAAGAUAAUGACUGUACCACCAGAAGAAGCCCCGGCUAACUCCGUGCCAGCAGCCGCGGUAAUACGGAGGGGGCUAGCGUUGUUCGGAAUUACUGGGCGUAAAGCGCACGUAGGCGGAUUGGAAAGUUGGGGGUGAAAUCCCGGGGCUCAACCCCGGAACUGCCUUCAAAACUAUCGGUCUGGAGUCCGAGAGAGGUGAGUGGAAUUCCGAGUGUAGAGGUGAAAUUCGUAGAUAUUCGGAGGAACACCAGUGGCGAAGGCGGCUCACUGGCUCGGUACUGACGCUGAGGUGCGAAAGCGUGGGGAGCAAACAGGAUUAGAAACCCUUGUAGUCC
rnacentral:rRNA from 1 species